ACACGACUCUCGGCAACGGAUAUCUCGGCUCUCGCAUCGAUGAANAACGUANCGAAAUGCGAUACCUGGUGUGAAUUGCAGAAUCCCGCNAACCAUCGAGUCUUUGAACGCAAGUUGCGCCCGAGGCCAUUNGGCCNANGGCACGCCUGCCUGGGCGUCACGC
rnacentral:rRNA from 1 species